GAUGAACGCUGGCGGCGUGCCUAAUACAUGCAAGUCGAGCGAACAGAUGAGGAGCUUGCUCCUCUGACGUUAGCGGCGGACGGGUGAGUAACACGUGGAUAACCUACCUAUAAGACUGGGAUAACUUCGGGAAACCGGAGCUAAUACCGGAUAAUAUAUUGAACCGCAUGGUUCAAUAGUGAAAGACGGUUUUGCUGUCACUUAUAGAUGGAUCCGCGCCGCAUUAGCUAGUUGGUAAGGUAACGGCUUACCAAGGCAACGAUGCGUAGCCGACCUGAGAGGGUGAUCGGCCACACUGGAAGUGAGACACGGUCCAGACUCCUACGGGAGGAAGCAGUAGGGAAUCUUCCGCAAUGGGCGAAAGCCUGACGGAGCAACGCCGCGUGAGUGAUGAAGGUCUUCGGAUCGUAAAACUCUGUUAUUAGGGAAGAACAAAUGUGUAAGUAACUAUGCACGUCUUGACGGUACCUAAUCAGAAAGCCACGGCUAACUACGUG
rnacentral:rRNA from 1 species